rnacentral:tRNA from 1 species
UUAAAUAUAGUUUAAUUCAAAACAUUAUAUUUUCAUUAUAAAAAUAAUACAUUAUCAUAUUUAUUUAAU